ensembl:lncRNA
GGGGAAACUGAGGCCCGGGAGUGGCUCUCCGCGUCAGCGGCCGCGCGGGGAUCCCGGCGCCUCGCGUCCCCCUCCCGGGGCUUGGCGCGGGAGGCCUCUGGCCGGCACGCGUGUGCAGGGCUCGGCCGCCUCGCAGGCCGCCGGGCGGCCCGCCCUGGAAAACGCCUUUUCGCGCGGGUUUCCGUUUUUUGUGUGUGUGUUUUUUUUUUUAGCCUCUCGUGCCGCGUGCUGUCAUCCGCCCUCCCGCCGCCGCGGGGAAGUGUUCCCUGUCGUGGAAACACGAAGCCCCGGCCGCGUCCCAAACGUUUUCACUUCAGUGGUGACGAACAAAAUUCCCCGCAAACCCCGCGGCCCCGCGCGGCGGUUUACACGCAGACGCGGACCCCGCGGCGAGCUCCCGGGGAAAGCUGGGCCCGCUCCCCAGCCCUCCAGGUCGGGAAAGCGCGCCCCGCGCGGGGCCGAGGGACUGCGGGGUGGGCGACUCCUCCCGAGCCGCGCUCGUUCAGGCAUCUCCGCCCCUUCCCCCCGGAGACCCAACUAUUUCCAAAGCUUUAUGAAUUUUAAAGGGAGAAAGGCUUCUUGACAACGGGGAGGAAAAGGAGAUUCUGACUCAGCAACCGACUUGUUGAGACUUGCAAAACGGAAGAGGAGAGCUUUCCAUGGUAGAGCUCUUGUUGGAAGCGACGGAAGAGGCCCCCAACCUGUGUAUUUCCUCAAGAAACAUUUAACAUCGAGAAGUAGAUAGAUGGAUAUGUAUAUGAGGGUCUAGAUAAAGAAACAGCAGAGUGAUCCAUACUAAAGCAGAAUCUUCAGCCCUGCUCCAGACUCAGAGCCCAGGAGGCUCAAACUGCAGGCCUUCCCACACACCUGUGUCUUUAUUCCACCCACCAUCCAAGAAAGACAGAUUCUCCAAACUUCCAACACAAACAGAACAGUGUUUUCCUGCCUCUGGAGUCCUUGAGCAAUGUUUGGCUGAGAGACCCACGAGAGGAGUGUUACAAGUGUGAUCUCGGCAGGCUGGGUGCCUAGGACUGCCUCCUUCCUGCACCCGCUCUCCAGCCUGGGCCCACGGCCAAGAGCACCAGAGUUCACCAGAAAGACAAACACUGAGACGCUCCCCAAACACUUGGACUUUAAUUUGCUUCAUGAAAUGCCAGGUUAUUUUCUUUUUCUGGCAGAAUUGGUUGCGCCUCCUCCAAUCUCACAGUCCUGCUCCUGGUAGCAGUUUUCUCGGAAUCUCACCAGUUCAAUUUCAUCUAUCUAUCUAUCUAUCUAUGCAUGCUGUGGUUGUAUCUGCUGCUGCUGCUCCUAAGUCACUUCAGUCGUGUCCGACUCUGUGCGACCCUAUAGAUGGCAGCUCACCAGGCUCCCCCAUCCCUGGGAUUCUCCAGGCAAGAAUACUGGAGUGGGUUGCCAUUUCCUUCUCCAAUGCAUGAAAGUAAAAAGUGAAAGUGAAGUAGCUCAGUCAUGCCUGACUCAGCGACCCCAUGGACUGAAGCCACCAGGAUCCUCCAUCCAUGGGAUUUUCCAGAGUGCAUCAGGUGGAAUGCUGGGCUGGAUGACUCACAAGCCAGAAUCAACAUUGCCAGGAAAAAUAUCAACAACCUCAGAUAAGCAGAUGAUAAUACCACUUUAAUGGCAGAAAGUAAAGAGGAACCAAAGAGCCUCCUGAUGAAGGUGAAAGAGGAGAGUGAAAAAGCUGGCUUUAAAUUCAGCAUUCAAAAAAUAAAAAUCAUGGCAUCCGCUCUCAUGACUUCAUAGCAAAUAGAUGGGCAAAAAGUGAAAACAAUGAUAGAUUCCAUUUUCUUGGGCUCCAAAAUCACUUUGAAUGGUGACUGCAGCCACAAAAUAUAAAGAUUCUUGCUCCUUUUAAGAAAGGCUAUGACAAACCCAGACAGCGUAUUAAAAAGCAGAGACAUUACAUUACCGACAAAGGUCUGUCUAGUCAAAUCUGUGGUCUUUCCAGUAGUCAUGUAUGAAUAUGGGAGUUGGACCAUAAAGAAAGCUGAGCACCGAAGAAUUAAUGCUUUUGAG